UACGUAGGGUCCGAGCGUUGUCCGGAAUUACUGGGCGUAAAGAGCUCGUAGGUGGUUUGUCGCGUUGUUCGUGAAAACUCACAGCUCAACUGUGGGCGUGCGGGCGAUACGGGCAGACUAGAGUCAGGUAGGGGAGAACGGAAUUCCUGGCGUAGCGGUGAAAUGCGCAGAUAUCAGGAGGAACACCGGUGGCGAAGGCGGCUCACUGGCCCGGUUCUGACGCUGAGGCGCGAAAGCGUGGGGAGCAAACAGG
rnacentral:rRNA from 1 species